rnacentral:rRNA from 1 species
GACAGAGGGUGCAAACGUUGUUCGGAAUUACUGGGCGUAAAGCGCGUGUAGGCGGCUAUGCAAGUCGGAUGUGAAAGCCCUCGGCUCAACCGGGGAAGUGCACCCGAAACUGCAAAGCUAGAGUCUCGGAGAGGAUCGUGGAAUUCUCGGUGUAGAGGUGAAAUUCGUAGAGAUCGGGUGGAACACCAGUGGCGAAGGCGCCUAUCUGGCUGACAACUGACGCUGAGACUCGAAAGCAUGGGGAGCAAACAGG